CACCACUCAAGCCUCGCUUGGUAUUGGGCAACGCGGUCCGCCGCGUGCCUCAAAUCGACCGGCUGGGUCUUCUGUCCCCUAAGCGUUGUGGAAACUAUUCGCUAAAGGGUGCUCGGGAGGCUACGCCGUAAAACCCCCAAUUUUCCAAA
rnacentral:misc_RNA from 1 species